ensembl:lncRNA
AAGCAUUUUGCUUACAUGCUUAACAAAAGCCUGUGUUAAGAGCUUUGCUGGAUUUGAAAGUGAAAUAGCUUAAAACCACUAUUUAGAGACCCAUAUAAAAUAACCAGAAUAUCAUUCCUCCUUUUUAGCUGUAUUUUAAUUUUAGAAAAAGGCUAUUAAUGAAAAGCUUUUCUAUAGGCCAAAAUAGCUAUGUUACUGUCUUUUUUCCUACUAUCAAACUUGUGGUCUGGGCUAUCCCAAACUACCACAUCCCAGUCCGAAUUCAGUGUUUUUGAUGGAAUAACUCUGAUGGAUAUACAAAGCAGAAGCAUGCUGGAAGCUCACGUAAUGAGUCCCUCAGGAAUAGCUAUACAAGGCUCAUAUGGUUUAGGUGUCCUUGGAUAACAAAAGUACUCAUUGACUUAAAAUUCACUUCAGUACUCAUUCACUUAAAAUUAUUAAAAUUGUAGGUAAUAAAUAUCCAACAGGGACUGCGCAAGUAGAGUGAGCAAACAAGGGGAAGGAUCUGCCUUCUUGAAAGAGGCUUGAGAUUUAAAGACAUUUUUCAGAAAAAGGUUGUCCAUUUGCAUAAAACCUUCUUCUUUAGAAGAAUCUUGAAACCAAGUUUUUCACAAGUCCGAUUUCCAAAGGGACAAUUUUCAUGCAAUUUCUAAUCAGAUUGCAUUUGAGUCAAAAGCUACUAUCAAUCAAACAUUAAAUAUAAAUUAGUCAGAAAUCUAAGCUAUUAGAAGAUUUCCACAGCAAAAUUAAUUCACCCAGAGCCUAUUCUGAAGCGAACAGCCAUGUGUUACAAAAAAAAGAGGAAAAAGAUGGCAAAAAAUAGAAUCCAGAGGUGGCAAACAAAAUAAGUGCACUGAAAUGCUGAAAUGUUCAUAAGAUGUUAGAGGUUAUUUUUCCUGCGUAAAAAUCAGCAAAUUAGCAGUAACCAGAUCAAACCUACCUGCCAUUCAAUGAGAGAGGAAGAGUGCAGCAAGAGGUGUUGUGCUGGCAAAAUCUAUGCAUGCUUCUACAUAUUCUACAAAUACAUUUGUUAUAUCUGGCUCCAAGAUCUGGAAACGUGCUGUGACAUGAUGAGUGAGGUUUGGUUUCAUUUGUUUUCCUCUUUUCCUGCUUGCAAUCCUUGCUCACAUGCUGUGGGAUUGCAGAAGCAAUGAAAACAGCCUACAUGGAGAUGAAAUAUCUAUUCUCAUGGCAUCUCAGAGGAACUGACCUGGGUGUAGAUGCAUGGGAAAGGUAAGAAGCAAGAGGAGGAAAGAGAUGGGGGGGAGAUUAAGGGCUGAGAUACCCUCAGACGUGCUUCAGGAGGUGAGGAGUGUUGGUUAAUAUUGACUUCCAUGUCUUCUCCUGGGCACUCGUUUGAGUAACCCCUUUGCAUAUUUUUCAUUGCAGCUGUGGACGCCUGUGUUGGUACCAGGACAGCACAGUGGCUGCUGUCCUUGUGCCGCUGACUGCUGACAGGCAGAAAGCAACUCUGAUGCCUGGAAAGCAGAUGGCUGCUCAAAACACCGGGCAAUAUAUUAUCCAUGCUGGAACACCACAGAGGCACCAUCAAAGGAUUGGUCUUCAGCUCUUCGGCUCCCUCUGAGGUUGGUGGUACAGGUACUGGAAAAAACAGAGUUAUGCCAAGACUGAAUGGUCUUGAAAAUCCUUUUGUUUCUGACCAAAUCCAACAAAAACCGGUGGCAUAAAAGAUUCCCACUGAACAUCCUUGGCGAUUGGAUCAAGGCUUUUUUGACUGCUGUCUAUUAUAUUCUGCUACUCCAAAAAUGAGAUGGGCUCUGCCUGGAGAAAAAAGGAUUGCUGUUUGCAUCAAGCCAGCAGGAAUGUAGCCACCAACAUAUUGAAAAGGUUUCACAUGUAAAAUGCUCGGCUUUGACGAGUAAGGCCUGAAGUCCUUAUAUGGUCUAAGAUGGUUCCGGAUUUGGCCAAAGUUCAGAAACUUGCUUUCUGUCUGUACAAACAAGCCCCUGGAAGUCCAGUCAAGACAUUCCUAAAACAGAGCUUCUUACAGUUUAAAAUUAAUAGUCAGUAGUAAGUCAUUAUGAUUUUACGCAAUAAACCAGCUAUAAGAGUUUGCA